rnacentral:rRNA from 1 species
ACAACUUUCAACAACGGAUCUCUUGGCUCUCGCAUCGGUGAAGAACGCAGCGAAAUGCGAUACGUAAUGUGAAUUGCAGAAUUCAGUGAAUCAUCGAAUCUUUGAACGCACCUUGCGCCCCUUGGCAUUCCGAGGGGCACACCCGUUUGAGUGUCGUGA